UACGUAGGGGGCGAGCGUUACCCGGAUUCACUGGGCGUAAAGGGGGCGUAGGUGGCCGUGUAAGUCCGGUGUGAAAAGCCACGGCUCAACCGUGGACCUGCGCGUGAAACUACAUGGCUUGAGGACGGUAGAGGGAGACGGAACUGCUGGUGUAGCGGUGAAAUCCGUAGAUAUCAGCAGGAACGCCGGUGGGGAAGCCGGUCUCCUGGGCCGUUCCUGACGCUGAGGCCCGAAAGCUAGGGGAGCAAACCGG
rnacentral:rRNA from 1 species